UGAACACUUGGAUUGUUUUCAUAUUUUAUCUUUUGUGAAUAAUGCUGCAAUGAACAUUCCCAUGCAAGUACCUGUUUGAGUCCCUGGAUUUAAUUCUUUGGGUUUUCACAAGCUCCAAAAGAUUCACUGUGCAGAACUGGAGGUUCUAGAGAAAGACCACGCCUCCUCCUGCAGUAUUUUGUCAUGGCAGCCCUAGCAAACUACUACAGGGACUGUGGGGGUUAGGAUGACACCAAGCAUCAAAUGCCACUCCCUGUUCCAACACUGAGACCAUUCCACAGCCCCUGAAUGACAAGACAGGCCUUCAAGCUCAAGACUACUUGGCUAGAGUCCUGUGUCACUCCGAGUAGAGCAAGGACCCUGUUGUCAUUGGACAUCUGCAGCCUGGAAAUGACUGGACAUGGAUGAAGCUGGAAACCAUUAUUCUCAGCAAACUAUCGC
rnacentral:lncRNA from 1 species